CACCGAGUCCGGGGCUCCGGGAUUCUGCCGGGAGCCUGGUGCAAGUGGGA
rnacentral:sRNA from 1 species